UAUUUCAAUCCAGCUUUCAGCCAAGUGCCGUAUCCUUUCUCUCAUAGUAAAUCAAUUUUCUCAUCAUAUUUUCUCAGCUUAAUCAGAGUAGUGUUGUGAAAUUUCUAGGUAUUUCAACUUUGCUCUAUUCAUUUCCAUGUUUCUCUCAUGUUUUGUUCUCUCCGUGUUUGAAUCUUCUAUGGAUUGAUGAAGUUUUUAAUCUUUCAUUUAAAUCUCCAAAUCAAUCUUCCUCAUAAAAUCUUCCUCAAAUUUUGAAGCCUAAGUUGUAUUUGGGAGUUGAUAUUGUAGUCUGCAGAAAUUUCUAAGUUGUGUUUGGAAGUUGAUAUUGUAGUCUAUAAAAAUUGGUACUUUUAAUUUUAUAUUCCAUAAUUGCUGCAGUUGGUACUAAAAAAAAAGGAGAAAAAGAAAUAUAUUUCCCCUUCAUCUUUGUUUUUUCGUUGGAUUUGUAAACACCACAGCAGUUGUUUGUAUUGGAAAAUUGAAGGGGAUGAGGAGGUCCUGGAGUUAGUAUCCGAGGAGGACAAACCAGUGGAGGAAGCUAUGGCUCUGGAAACAUGUUUAUUUCAUUUAAGUUUUUUGAUAGAAUAGCAGGUUUCCAACAAUGGGAGUAACUGGAUAAUACAUAACAGAUUCGGCUUCAUGGUGAAGAAAGAAGAUGUUGGAGAUGAAAAUGGUGAUAAGGAAGGCUUAUUAAUUGUUGAACGAAGCAGAGAGAGUAAAGAGAAAGCUCUAGCGAGUGAAUUGAAUAAGAAACUUGAAGCUUAUCGAAUGAGAAAUAUUAGAGAUGUUUUAAGUUGUUAAUGGAUGUGCAUUGGUUACCUUCUUUCGUUAUUAACAUGCAAAUUAAGAUCCACGCUUUUACAGGGGGGGAGCAAAAGAUCUUUGCCUUCAAUACUGUAGACCUACAACAAUAGGGAAGUAUCUGACUUGACAUCUUAAUACUAUUGAUUAAUCUUUCGAGUUCUUUAUGUGUAAUUCUUUUACUGUAUAGCUUUAGAAGAGUGUUUAAAUUGUUUACCAUUUUUGCUGGUGGAAUCUCAUAGGCCUCAGAGAAUAUGAUAAUAAAGUGCUUUCUAUGAUAGACAUAACAAUGCACCAUGAGAUUAACUAUGUUCCAUGUCUUUGACCAAAUUACAUUCUUCUAUUGGUAAUACAUUAGAAACUAUAUAGAUAAAGUAUAUGUAACAAUCCUUUGUGGAAAAAUCAAGAGUUUUUCAUGAAGAUGCCUUUCAAGAAAAUUGGUUGUUCAUUUGGAGUAAUUUGCUUUAGCAUGCUUUUGGUGCUUGCAGAGAAGAGCUUUACUCAAUGCUACUGGUAACUUGGGGCUAAUAGGACCUUAUGGAGAUGCUUUAACUAAGCUUGAAUGCAGUUUAAAUUGGAUGGAGAGGUUUCUACUCCAUUGACUUCUCCAGGAGCCAUUUCUAGAAUGGCUUACAGGUAGUAUACGUCACAUCAUCAGUGCUGUUUAGAUAAAAGAACAAGUAUAAGGACUGACAAGCAGAAGUUAUUGGAGCUGUUUCUUGAAAACUUUAGUCACUAUUGCUCAUCUGGUAAUGAUUUACUCUAUGUUAUGGUACUUGCGUGUUCAUCAUUUCAGAGUCGGCUAAGUAUUGCUUCUUCCUGUUGCGAGGAGACCAACAUCCCAAAGUUGAUCCUUAUAUUUUGGAUGGUUAAGACUUAAGCAUUAGAAAUUAUUGGUCAUGUUAUUGUCAUUUAAAGUUGUUAAAUAACAGGAUAACUUUUUUUUUUUUUCAAUUUAUGUAUCCUUUGAGUGGUAGACAAUGAUGAAUCGUUGGAAUAACUUAACGUGCUAGACCAGUAGUUUGUACAUGCUUCAUUACGGAGAAAACGUUGUUGAGUACAUCAUCUUUGUUUUUUUCGUUCAUUUUUCUGUAUUCUAAAUUGGUAUGAUGUGAUGAAACUAUUUGUAAUAUUGAGCUUAUAUGCAGAUUUAGUCUCUGCAUUCAGUUGGAUUUCCU